AUGUCACAGUUCUGGUGGAGCAGCUCCAUAGACAAGAAAUCUUUACACUGGUUGUCAUGGGAUAAGUUGACUGCACAAAAGGAGAGAGGAGGCAUAGGGUUCCGGGAUAUGCAGCAAUUUAACAUUACGCUACUAGGCAAGCAAGGAUGGCGCCUCAUCUCACACCCGGAGUCGCUAUGUUCCAAGGUGUUGAAGGGGAAAUACUUUCCUGAAUGUAACUUUGAGGAUGCCCAGGCUCCAAAAUCUGCAUCUGCCACGUGGAAGGCCAUUAUUGCGGGGCGUGCAGCUUUGGACACGAGACUAAUUAAGCGAGUGGGUACCGGAGAAUCCAUAUCUAUAUGGACAGACCGAUGGAUUCCCGAUACAGAUAUGAUGAAACCAAUAGGACAUAUUGGGAAUGCGCAACUCGACAAGGUUGCUGAACUGAUUGAUCAGCAGAGAGGUAUAUGGGACAUCCAAUUGGUACGCAGCAACUUUUUAGCUCCUGACACCGAUGCAAUUCUGAAUAUUCCUUUAAGAAGGGGAGGAGGCAAAGAUUUCUAUGUGUGGUCUCUAGAAAAAGCAGGUGUAUACUCCAUUAAAACGGCAUACCGAGCUCUUAUGACUCAUAAAGAGCGUUUAGCUCAAGAGGAAGGGACAGUAGCGGGCUCUUCAAUGUCGGAUCAACACUUGUGGAAAAUUUUGUGGAAGCUAAAAGUGAUUCCAAGAGUUCAUGUAUUUUGGUGGCGAGUACUUAAGGGAAUUCUCCCUGACUACGCCAAUCUGCAACGAUGCCAUAUACACACAAUGGCUCGCUGUGAACUAUGCUAA
rnacentral:rRNA from 1 species